rnacentral:tRNA from 1 species
AAGGUUUUAAGUUAAAAAAACUGUGAGCCUUCAAAGCUUAAAAUAAAAAUAAUUUUUUAAACCUUG